ACGGAGGGUGCAAGCGUUGUUCGGAAUUACUGGGCGUAAAGCGCGUGUAGGCGGACUCAGAAGUCGGGUGUGAAAGCCCCGGGCUUAACUCGGGAAGUGCGCUCGAAACCAUGGGUCUUGAGAACCGGAGGGGAUCGGGGAAUUCCCAGUGUGGGGGUGAAAGGCGUAGAUAUUGGGAGGAACUCCGAUGGCGAAGGUGCCGAUCUGGACGGUUUCCGACGCUGAGACGCGUAAGCGUGGCUAGCACACAG
rnacentral:rRNA from 1 species